rnacentral:tRNA from 1 species
AAAGAUUUAGUUAAUAAACCAAAUAAUAUAAAUUUGUCAAAUUUAAGUAAUUUAACUAAAAUAAAUAAUCUUUU